UAAAAUGUCUUAUAUUUUAAGUAUUUUGGGGGCUAUUAAUAAAGGAAAUGGUCUCUCGGUGAAUUUCGUCACAGGCUUGCCAAAUAUGACGUUAGUUCAUGUUUCCUGGUGUGAGGGUGUUGAGGGUAAAGUAAACGUGAAUAUAGUGCCGUAGUUUGAGUACGUACUCAGUGUGACAGUGAGUCAGGGACCAGACACACAUCAACCAUGUUGCAGCUGAAAUGGUUAUUCUCCGUUGUAUAUCUUCUCUCGCGGUGCUCUGUGUGUGAGGCUUAUGUGGUCAGACGGUCCGGCAAGGCAGAAUCAUCGGAGUCUCUCUCAGGAUGUAGGUUUAUACUUCUUUAAUACCAGAAUGUUUUUAUUCUAGAAUUUGUGUGCUUAAUGUAUAAAUUAUUAUACAAUUGUAAAUUUAAACUGUAUGCAAUGAAUAUAUAACAAACAUGACUACAGUGGUUGCAGAGCAGAAUUUACAACUUCGAACCACUUAUUGUAUGGGUUUAAUAAAUCUAAAUGUACAUUCAGUAUGCUAA